ACAGGCUCCUAUCGAAGCCGUUCCUGCUGUUGUGUAGCAGUGAAUGGUCAAAGGGAAGCCAAGAUGAAAACUUUCACUGACGGUCGCUGCUCAGCUUCUGAAAAAAAAUAGCUGAUGCAGCAACAUUUUUGGGGAAGGACAUUG